GGAUGGCUGAGUUAAGCGGUGGAUUGUAGCCCCAUAAACAGAGGUUUGAGUCCUCUUCUUGCCAAGCC
rnacentral:tRNA from 1 species